rnacentral:rRNA from 1 species
AUUGAACGCUGGCGGCAGGCCUAACACAUGCAAGUCGAACGAGUGGCGGACGGGUGAGUAAUGUCUGGGAAACUGCCUGAUGGAGGGGGAUAACUGCUGUAAACGGUAGCUAAUACCGCAUACCAUCAGAUGUGCCCAGAUGGGAUUAGCUAGUUGGUGGGGUAACGGCUCACCAAGGCGACGAUCCCUAGCUGGUCUGAGAGGAUGAGCAGCCACACUGGGACUGAGACACGGUCCAGACUCCUACGGGAGGCAGCAGUGGGGAAUCUUGCGCAAUGGGCGAAAGCCUGAUGCAGCCACGCCGCGUGUAUGAAGAAGGCCUUCGGGUUGUAAAGUACUUUCAUCGGGGAGGCGUUACCCACCGAAGAAGCACCGGCUAACUCCGUGCCAGCAGCCGCGGUAAUAC